GAUGAACGCUGGCGGCGUGCCUAAUACAUGCAAGUCGAGCGAACAGACGAGGAGCUUGCUCCUCUGACGUUAGCGGCGGACGGGUGAGUAACACGUGGAUAACCUACCUAUAAGACUGGGAUAACUUCGGGAAACCGGAGCUAAUACCGGAUAAUAUAUUGAACCGCAUGGUUCAAUAGUGAAAGACGGUUUUGCUGUCACUUAUAGAUGGAUCCGCGCCGCAUUAGCUAGUUGGUAAGGUAACGGCUUACCAAGGCAACGAUGCGUAGCCGACCUGAGAGGGUGAUCGGCCAAACUGGAACUGGGACCAGGUUCCGAAUCCUACGGGAGGCAGCCGUAGGGAAUCUUCCGGAAUGGGCGGAAGCUUGACGGAGCAACGGCGCGUGAGUGAUGAAGGUCUUCGGAUCGUAAAACUCUGUUAUUAGGGAAGAACAAAUGUGUAAGUAACUAUGCACGUCUUUAAGGUAACUUAUCAGAAAGCCACGGCUAACUAAGUG
rnacentral:rRNA from 1 species